UACGGGGGGUGCGAGCGUUGUCCGGAAUCACUGGGCGUAAAGGGCGCGUAGGUGGCCUGAUAAGGGUGUGGUGAAAGUCCGGGGCUCAACCCCGGAUCGGCCGUGCCGACUGUUAGGCUAGAGUACUGUAGGGGCAGGCGGAAUUCCGGGUGUAGCGGUGGAAUGCGUAGAGAUCCGGAGGAAGACCGGUGGCGAAGGCGGAUCUCUGGGCCAUUACUGACGCUGAGGAGCGAAAGCGUGGGGAGCGAACAGG
rnacentral:rRNA from 1 species